GAGUUUGAUCAUGGCUCAGAUUGAACGCUGGCGGCAUGCCUUACACAUGCAAGUCGAACGGCAGCACGGGAGCUUGCUCCUGGUGGCGAGUGGCGAACGGGUGAGUAAUGCAUCGGAACGUAUCCUGGAGUGGGGGAUAACGUAGCGAAAGUUACGCUAAUACCGCAUAUUCUGUGAGCAGGAAAGCGGGGGACCUUCGGGCCUCGCGCUCUUGGAGCGGCCGAUGUCGGAUUAGCUAGUUGGUGAGGUAAAGGCUCACCAAGGCGACGAUCCGUAGCAGGUCUGAGAGGAUGAUCUGCCACACUGGAACUGAGACACGGUCCAGACUCCGUACGGGAGGCAGCAGGUGGGGAAUUUUGGACAAUGGGGGCAACCCUGAUCCAGCCAUGCCGCGUGAGUGAAGAAGGCCUCGG
rnacentral:rRNA from 1 species